GACGAACGCUGGCGGCGUGCUUAACACAUGCAAGUCGAACGGAAAGGCCCUGCUUUUGUGGGGUGCUCGAGUGGCGAACGGGUGAGUAACACGUGAGUAACCUGCCCUUGACUUAGGGAUAACUUCAGGAAACUGGGGCUAAUACCGGAUAGGAGCUCCUGCUGCACGGGGGGGGUUGGAAAGUUUCGGCGGUUGGGGAUGGACUCGCGGCUUAUCAGCUUGUUGGUGGGGUAAUGGCUUACCAAGGCUUCGACGGGUAGCCGGCCUGAGAGGGUGACCGGCCACAUUGGGACUGAGGUACGGCCCAGACUCCUACGGGGGGCAGCAGUGGGGAAUAUUGCACAAUGGGCGGAAGCCUGAUGCAGCAACGCCGCGUGCGGAAUGACGGCCUUCGGGUUGUAAACCGCUUUCGCCUGUGACGAAGCGUGAGUGACGGUAAUGGGUAAAGAAGCACCGGCUAACUACGUG
rnacentral:rRNA from 1 species